GGUUAAGCGACUAAGCGUACACGGUGGAUGCCCUGGCAGUCAGAGGCGAUGAAGGACGUGCUAAUCUGCGAUAAGCGCCGGUAAGGUGAUAUGAACCGUUAUAACCGGCGAUUUCCGAAUGGGGAAACCCAGUGUGACUCGUCACACUAUCAUUAACUGAAUCCAUAGGUUAAUGAGGCGAACCGGGGGAACUGAAACAUCUAAGUACCCCGAGGAAAAGAAAUCAACCGAGAUUCCCCCAGUAGCGGCGAGCGAACGGGGAGGAGCCCAGAGCCUGAAUCAGCAUGUGUGUUAGUGGAAGCGUCUGGAAAGGCGCGCGAUACAGGGUGACAGCCCCGUACACAAAAGCGCAUGUGCUGUGAGCUCGAUGAGUAGGGCGGGACACGUGGUAUCCUGUCUGAAUAUGGGGGGACCAUCCUCCAAGGCUAAAUACUCCUGACUGACCGAUAGUGAACCAGUACCGUGAGGGAAAGGCGAAAAGAACCCCGGCGAGGGGAGUGAAAAAGAACCUGAAACCGUGUACGUACAAGCAGUGGGAGCACCCUUUGGGGUGUGACUGCGUACCUUUUGUAUAAUGGGUCAGCGACUUAUAUUCUGUAGCAAGGUUAACCGAAUAGGGGAGCCGGAGGGAAACCGAGUCUUAACCGGGCGUUAAGUUGCAGGGUAUAGACCCGAAACCCGGUGAUCUAGCCAUGGGCAGGUUGAAGGUUGGGUAACACUAACUGGAGGACCGAACCGACUAAUGUUGAAAAAUUAGCGGAUGACCUGUGGCUGGGGGUGAAAGGCCAAUCAAACCGGGAGAUAGCUGGUUCUCCCCGAAAGCUAUUUAGGUAGCGCCUCGUGAAUUCAUCUCCGGGGGUAGAGCACUGUUUCGGCUAGGGGGCCAUCCCGGCUUACCAACCCGAUGCAAACUGCGAAUACCGGAGAAUGUUAUCACGGGAGACACACGGCGGGUGCUAACGUCCGUCGUGAAGAGGGAAACAACCCAGACCGCCAGCUAAGGUCCCAAAGUCAUGGUUAAGUGGGAAACGAUGUGGGAAGGCCCAGACAGCCAGGAUGUUGGCUUAGAAGCAGCCAUCAUUUAAAGAAAGCGUAAUAGCUCACUGGUCGAGUCGGCCUGCGCGGAAGAUGUAACGGGGCUAAACCAUGCACCGAAGCUGCGGCAGCGACGCUGAUGCGUUGUUGGGUAGGGGAGCGUUCUGUAAGCCUGCGAAGGUGGCCUGUGAGGGUUGCUGGAGGUAUCAGAAGUGCGAAUGCUGACAUAAGUAACGAUAAAGCGGGUGAAAAGCCCGCUCGCCGGAAGACCAAGGGUUCCUGUCCAACGUUAAUCGGGGCAGGGUGAGUCGACCCCUAAGGCGAGGCCGAAAGGCGUAGUCGAUGGGAAACGGGUUAAUAUUCCCGUACUUGGUGUUACUGCGAAGGGGGGACGGAGAAGGCUAUGUUGGCCGGGCGACGGUUGUCCCGGUUUAAGCGUGUAGGUGUGUGUUCCAGGUAAAUCCGGUUCACUUUAACACUGAGGCGUGAUGACGAGGCACUACGGUGCUGAAGCAACAAAUGCCCUGCUUCCAGGAAAAGCCUCUAAGCAUCAGGUAACAUCAAAUCGUACCCCAAACCGACACAGGUGGUCAGGUAGAGAAUACCAAGGCGCUUGAGAGAACUCGGGUGAAGGAACUAGGCAAAAUGGUGCCGUAACUUCGGGAGAAGGCACGCUGACACGUAGGUGAAGUGAUUUACUCAUGGAGCUGAAGUCAGUCGAAGAUACCAGCUGGCUGCAACUGUUUAUUAAAAACACAGCACUGUGCAAACACGAAAGUGGACGUAUACGGUGUGACGCCUGCCCGGUGCCGGAAGGUUAAUUGAUGGGGUCAGCGCAAGCGAAGCUCCUGAUCGAAGCCCCGGUAAACGGCGGCCGUAACUAUAACGGUCCUAAGGUAGCGAAAUUCCUUGUCGGGUAAGUUCCGACCUGCACGAAUGGCGUAAUGAUGGCCAGGCUGUCUCCACCCGAGACUCAGUGAAAUUGAACUCGCUGUGAAGAUGCAGUGUACCCGCGGCAAGACGGAAAGACCCCGUGAACCUUUACUAUAGCUUGACACUGAACAUUGAGCCUUGAUGUGUAGGAUAGGUGGGAGGCUUUGAAGUGUGGACGCCAGUCUGCAUGGAGCCGGCCUUGAAAUACCACCCUUUAAUGUUUGAUGUUCUAACGUGGACCCGUGAUCCGGGUUGCGGACAGUGUCUGGUGGGUAGUUUGACUGGGGCGGUCUCCUCCUAAAGAGUAACGGAGGAGCACGAAGGUUGGCUAAUCCUGGUCGGACAUCAGGAGGUUAGUGCAAUGGCAUAAGCCAGCUUGACUGCGAGCGUGACGGCGCGAGCAGGUGCGAAAGCAGGUCAUAGUGAUCCGGUGGUUCUGAAUGGAAGGGCCAUCGCUCAACGGAUAAAAGGUACUCCGGGGAUAACAGGCUGAUACCGCCCAAGAGUUCAUAUCGACGGCGGUGUUUGGCACCUCGAUGUCGGCUCAUCACAUCCUGGGGCUGAAGUAGGUCCCAAGGGUAUGGCUGUUCGCCAUUUAAAGUGGUACGCGAGCUGGGUUUAGAACGUCGUGAGACAGUUCGGUCCCUAUCUGCCGUGGGCGCUGGAGAACUGAGGGGGGCUGCUCCUAGUACGAGAGGACCGGAGUGGACGCAUCACUGGUGUUCGGGUUGUCAUGCCAAUGGCACUGCCCGGUAGCUAAAUGCGGAAGAGAUAAGUGCUGAAAGCAUCUAAGCACGAAACUUGCCCCGAGAUGAGUUCUCCCUGAGACUUAGAGUCUCCUGAAGGAACGUUGAAGACGACGACGUUGAUAGGCCGGGUGUGUAAGCGCAGCGAUGCGUUGAGCUAACCGGUACUAAUGAACCGUGAGGCUUAACCUU
rnacentral:rRNA from 1 species